CUGCCGCGACAUCACAAUCGCGAAAUUGAUCGUUGUUGCGACAUCACAAUCGCGACCACCGCAUCAAGUAAUAUGAUUUACUCACCAGCGUCAAUCCUUUGAAUGUCGAUUCGCCAAUGUCUAUGGAUAAAAAAAUAAUUUCUUCUUUCCUCUUUUGAUUUCUAGGGUUCUUUAGGUUCUUUGUUUUACAUUGCUAAUACUGGUUGAUCGUUGUGCUACAUCGACAAUCGCCUCAACUGCAUUAGGGUUCUUUACUUUCUUGUAAUUUCUGAGCGAUCGACGGAAGGCCGACUUUGAAAGAGGUAAAUUUUUCGUUGAUCUUGAAGUUUAUUCGGAGGCUGGUUUGAUUUUAGUUCUUUUCAUUUUCAUAUUCAAUUGGUCGCUUCCUGCUAAUUGAGAGUUUAUAGUGCUUUAAUCUACUUGAUUAUAGUUUAAAUGGCAACAUUGCAUAACUCUUUUUUUUUCUAACAUUUUGAUAUCAACAAGUCUAUGUAUUUUAAAUACAUUCAUGACAAAAUAUGAAUUCCUUCCUUGCUUUUCUAUGCUCAGUGUUGAUAUUGUGUCGUGGUUAUUUGUUUGGGAAUGAUGAAUAAAAAAUACUCUUACAACCGAAAUUUGUUUCGGGGCGCUGCCCCCAGAAACCCCUGUAGGGGCGUUGCCCCUUGACCCCAUGACCUGACCGGGCAGGUCGAACCCCGCUAGGGGGUGCUGGUCCCUUUGACCCCCGACCAUAUGAUAGUUUAAAAGACCAAUUUUGAGAAUUUGCACUUAAUUAAAACUAGAUCUAUAAUUAUAUCAUCUUUAUUUUGUGCUCAUAUACAUAAUGCAAGAAAGACUAUCUUAUAUCCCUUUUUAAUUUGGGUGAAAGAUGUGUCUAGUACAUUUUAACAAUGUCCAUCAUUUUUCAGUUGUGCUUAGAGCCCAAACAUCAUUAAAAAUUUGCAUAGGACCACCCCUACCUCUGAUCACAUAAAUAAUAUUUUCCACUGUUGUAUAAGUAUGACCAACAAGAGGUGAUGGAGAUCCAAUAGCAUCAAUUUGCUUGAAUUGUCUCGAUUUUAUAUCAAGCAACAAAGUAUAAUUUCUUCAUGCAUGAUGACCAACACCACCAAAACCACCAAAGAUAAGAACUUCUUUAACUCCAUUAAUCAUUAAGGGACUUGCCGAAUGACCCCAUAGAAAAAACCUCUCAAUAGGUUCCCCCAGAAUAGUCAAUGCAUCAACAUAAAGAGACAACUUGUGCAUUCAUGGCAUCAUUGUUUAUUAGUUCUCGAUAAAAAAUGAAAUAGUUGUUGCCAAAU